rfam:Ailuropoda melanoleuca scaffold2548_14, whole genome shotgun sequence.
GUCUGGCUGGCUCAAUUGGUAGAGCAUGGGAUUCUUGAUCUCGAGGUUGUAAGUUUGAGUCCCACAUCGGGUG